GUCACGCCCUGGGGUCCCUUUGCGAUUUGGAAAGACAGCGGAAACGACUAAAAUUUUUUUUUUUUUUUUAAACACCUGACCCCAGAGUAUGUCAGAUCCGCCACAAUUAUAGGGAAUCCACUGUUCAUACGGACAGAGUCUCCCCUGUAUUUGCACGGCGUCGCACAAGUACAGAUACACAAUCAGAGUACAACCAGAAUACAACCACAACCAUAUGAACACACAAUCUCAACCGCACAUGCAGACGUUCAUACAUUCACCAUUCACAACGCGACAGUAUUCCAAGUUUUAAACAUAAAUCUAGAACUAUCAUUUGAAAUGUUUCCCACUCGGAAACGAGUUUUGAAAUGCUAAGUCUCAGAAAUCCAUUGAAAGCUCCUUUUAAAAUUGUUUCCCACACAGAAACCUUUAUCUUUUAAAACGCUACCACGAGGGGUAGAAAACCAUCGAAAACUGUAUCGAAUAUGAAAACCCUUUUUCUUUUUAAAACAAGCGCUACCACGAGGGG
rnacentral:lncRNA from 1 species